GAGAAAUUAACCAAUGAAAGCACAUGUUAACAGUACAAUCCAAACAUUUAAAUCUUUACAUACACAGUUAUAUUUGUAACCAAACACAAUCAAUAAGGUAGAAAAACAAUCAAAUAUCUAUCUUCAAAUGGUGUUUCCAUGUCCUUUUGUUUAGGUCCCUAAUCCUGAAUGAUGCAAACGGAAGUAGUGGAAACAAAAGAUGUAGACAGAGAAGUAGAGGAACAGAGCUUCCAUGAAUCAGAUCACCCAUAGCUGAUAUAUCUCUGAAUCAAGUUGAUUAAACGAGCACCAGUAUCAUCAGUUUUAAGACUGAGAAAUAAUAAAGUUGUCUGCAAUGAAAACAAAAAGGUUAGUGCUAAAUAAUCUCCAAGACAAAUAAUUUAGGUAGGACCAGUCAUAAAUAAUCCUUCUUCUCUACCAUAUUACCCAAUUUAAAUCUUUGGUAGUGAAACUUGUGAACUACCCUACUACAAGCAGACCAAUAGAUAAAAUCAGUAAUAACAAUGUUUUUUUAAUACUGUAAACCAGUAUUUAGUGCAUUUGCAUUUGUUGAAUGCUUGCUUGCUUUAUUCAGGAUAAAUAAACUCAAUUAGAGACAUAACGGAAUGAUCGUAGACUUCCCCAAUGAUGAAAGAGCUCUGACCUGGAGAAAAACAUUUGUGGCCUGAAGAGUAGACUUUGUAUCAUGCUUACAGUGACCUCGGGUCCUUGAGCCCUCUUGUUUCAGAAAAAAGGGGAGAAGAGAUCAAAUAACCUUAGGCUGGCAUAUCUCAUCUGACUAAUGCUUAUGUGUCACUGCCAAUUACAUGCUGCAAAUGGUGAACUAAGUGAGUUUCAAUGCAUAGUGCAUGUCAGAAAUUAAAGCUCCAAACUAUAAUAAAGAUAGAUAUUGAAAAUUAAUAUUGUGAUUAUAUAUAUCAUUUGGUUAUAUCUAAGAAAAUUACAAUUAUAUUAGUCAACAGGCUCAGUCAAAUGAAUAUUAUCAACUGUCGAAUUACCAUAAAACUACCACUAAAUCACAUCGGGUACCUGAACAUCACCUCAACAGUUGAUAUCAGAAAACUAGCGGUCCCUAAUAUUGACCAAGUAACUAAAAUAUAAGUACAACAAGACUGAUAGCAAUCAAGCUUAGCGUUACUCUACCGAGUGAAACGUCCACGGAGAAAGUAGUAAUAGGCAGCAAAACAUUUUGUAGCAAUACUGCAUGGUAAGUGCCAGCGUCAAUGACCUAUGCUGCGGCGUGCCGAUUACGUAGCACCACUAGCUGUAGAGAACAUAUGGAUCUGGAUCUCAAUGAGGACGGGCGGGUGAAGGUAGAUUGAUGGAGGAUGUCAGAAAUUCUUAUUACCUUGAACGCAUUUUAUCGAACAUGUGUUGGGUGUAAUCCAUGUGUGGAGGAAAACCUGAGGAAAUGGCGUAGCGGACACGGCGUAAGCGCUUCAGAAUCUCGACGUACCUAGCAAUCUCCCCGUGCCGCUGCAGUUGCGCUGUGCUCCACGCGCAGCCUGACGCAGCCACGCCGUCCUCUGUGCGCCGCUCGACGCAACCACGGUGCCUCUCCACAGCUGCGUCGUCCUCCCCGCGCCGCCUGUGCAGUCGCACCGCGUACCCACAACUGUGUCGUCCUCCCCGCGCCGCCUGACACAGUCAUGCCCCGCGCCCACCUCAGGCAGGCGUGACUCCAAAUCAUGAGCCUAGCGGCCGCCGCCUCCAUCUCUUGCGAAUUUGGGGAACGAGCGAGGUGGUGUACACAGGUGCUGCCUCUCCCAUAUGUUUGUUUUUUUAUUUGAGUAUUUGAGAAGGUCCCGAUUCGUGCGUGACUAUGUGCAGCCUGAGCAAUAGUAGUACAGUUAAGGGCCAAAUGCCUCUCCGUGUAUGGAUGAAACGAAUGCGGCGUUCAGAAAAACGCCUCCAAUGCUACAGGAAUUUAAGGGUGUGAUUGGUUGCUCCUUGGUCUGCCAUCCGGGAUGGAGGGUCUGUGUAGGCUCAAACCAUUCCAGAUUAGACCAUGCACCUUCGUCUGUUUGGUUGCAAAUGAGUGUAGCAUACUGGAUCAUAGGAACCGUGUUUGGUUGCUU
rnacentral:lncRNA from 1 species